AUAUUUUAACACUGAGGAAAUGGAGACAUUGAGACACGUCCUGUAUGCACUUUGGUUUCACCAGAUUUACAACAAAAGGAUUAGACAUUAUCAACAUGAUCAAGUUCUUCAUUUUACUUUGGAUGUGGCAUUACAGCUUGACUUACUUGGCAUGGACAAAUAAUUUCCACUAUUGUUUUUUAAACUUUACAUUUAUUCAACUGUACCCCAGUCGUACCUACAUAUUAUACAGAGCAUGAACAUUGCCAGUAUUCUUAUCAUAGUAUCACCAACUUAUCAGUGGUUUAAAGCACAUUCAGCAACUGGUUCUCACAUUUAUCAAGUUCAGAAUGAUCCCAUGUUUUCAAACAGGAUUACAUUUACAGACAUGGCAGAUAUUCAUUUUUUUUUUUUAAAUGAGACUCAAUGCAUUUCAACAUGUACAUAAGUGUAUAUCUGUGUGGACAUAUUAUGUCUCCAACAUAUCAAUCAGAUCAUGUAGCACAAUUAGCUUAUUGACUACAAGGCAGUAUUACAGCCUCAUCAGUGCCCGUGCAAACAUUCCAGAAGUAUGUUACUGAUUGUGAACCAAAAUUGUAAACCUACUCCAUAAAUCGUGAUGUACCAUAAAGGACAAACUACAGCCUCAUCAGUGCCCAAGCAGUCCAGAAGUAUGUUAAAGCGAACAUGAUUGCAAACCUACUCCACAACUCGGGAUGUAGCUAAUUCCAGCAACUU
rnacentral:lncRNA from 1 species